UACGAAGGGGGCUAGCGUUGCUCGGAAUCACUGGGCGUAAAGCGCGCGUAGGCGGAUUGCUAAGUCAGGGGUGAAAUCCUGGAGCUCAACUCCAGAACUGCCUUUGAUACUGGCGACCUUGAGUCCGGGAGAGGCGAGUGGAACUGCGAGUGUAGAGGUGAAAUUCGUAGAUAUUCGCAAGAACACCAGUGGCGAAGGCGGCUCACUGGCCCGGUACUGACGCUGAGGUGCGAAAGCGUGGGGAGCAAACAGG
rnacentral:rRNA from 1 species